rnacentral:rRNA from 1 species
UACGUAGGGGGCAAGCGUUGUCCGGAUUUAUUGGGCGUAAAGAGCUCGUAGGCGGUCUGUCGCGUCUGCUGUGAAAACCCGCAGCUCAACUGUGGGCUUGCAGCCGAUACGGGCGGGCUGGAGUUCGGUAGGGGAGACUGGAAUUCCUGGUGUAGCGGUGAAAUGCGCAGAUAUCAGGAGGAACACCGGUGGCGAAGGCGGGUCUCUGGGCCGAUACUGACGCUGAGGAGCGAAAGCGUGGGGAGCGAACAGG